rnacentral:rRNA from 1 species
GUGCCAGCCGCCGCGGUAAUGCGGGGGGAGCCAGCGUUGUCCGGAAUCACUGGGCGUAAAGGGCGUGUAGGCGGGCAUGCCAGUCAGGCGUAAAAGUCUACGGCUUAACCGUAGUUGGUCAUCUGAUACUGCAUGUCUUGAGUUCGAGAGAGGGUGGUGGAAUUCCUGGUGUAGCGGUGAAAUGCGUAGAUAUCAGGAAGAACACCGGAUGCGAAGGCGGCCACCUGGCUCGUAACUGACGCUGAGGCGCGAAAGCGUGGGGAGCAAACAGGAUUAGAUACCCUGGUAGUCCACGCCGUAAACGAUGGGCGCUAGGUGUGGGAGGUUUUUAAUCCUUCCGUGCCGCAGCUAACGCAUUAAGCGCCCCGCCUGGGGAGUACGGCCGCAAGGUUAAAACUUAAAUGAAUUGACGGGG